UACGGAAGGCAGCAGUGGGGAAUAUUGCACAAUGGGCGAAAGCCUGAUGCAGCUAUGCCGCGUGUAUGAAGAAGGCCUUAGGGUUGUAAAGUACUUUCAUCGGGGAGGAAAAAACAAAACUAAUAAUUUUAUUUCUUGACGUUACCCGAAAAAGAAGCACCGGCUAACUCCGUGCCAGCAGCCGCGGUAAUACGGAGGGUGCUAGCGUUAAUCAGAAUUACUGGGCGUAAAGAGCACGUAGGUGGUUUUUUAAGUCAGAUGUGAAAUCCCUGGGCUUAACCUAGGAACUGCAUUUUGAAACUGAAAUACUAGAGUAUCGUAGAGGGAGGUAGAAUUCUAGGUGUAGCGGUGAAAUGCGUAGAUAUCUGGAGGAAUACCUGUGGCGAAAGCGGCCUCUUAAACGAAUACUGACACUGAGGUGCGAAAGCGUGGGGAGCAAACAGGGAUUAGAUACC
rnacentral:rRNA from 1 species